rnacentral:tRNA from 1 species
GUUACUUUGGCAGAUAAGUGCUUUAAAUUUAGAAUUUAAAUAUGUAUAGAUAGUACAAGUAAUA